GUGCUCGCUUCGGCAGCACAUACACUAAAAAUUGGAAUGAUACAGAGACCAGCAUGGUCCCUGUGCAAGGCUGACACAAAUUCAUGACGUGUUCCCAUAUUAA